rnacentral:rRNA from 1 species
UACGUAGGGUCCGAGCGUUGUCCGGAGUUACUGGGCGUAAAGCGCGCGCAGGCGGCUCGUCAAGUCUGGCGUGAAAGCCCCCGGCUCAACCGGGGAGGUCGUCGGAGACUGGCGGGCUUGAGGGCGGUAGGGGCUGGUGGAAUUCCCGGUGUAGUGGUGAAAUGCGUAGAGAUCGGGAGGAACACCCGUGGCGAAGGCGGCCAGCUGGGCCGACCCUGACGCUGAGCGCGAAGGCGUGGGGAGCGAACGGG